GACGAACGCUGGCGGCGUGCUUAACACAUGCAAGUCGAGCGGAAAGGCCCUGCUUUUGUGGGGUGCUCGAGUGGCGAACGGGUGAGUAACACGUGAGUAACCUGCCCUUGACUUUGGGAUAACUUCAGGAAACUGGGGCUAAUACCGGAUAGGAGCUCCUGCUGCAUGGUGGGGGUUGGAAAGUUUCGGCGGUUGGGGAUGGACUCGCGGCUUAUCAGCUUGUUGGUGGGGUAGUGGCUUACUAAGGCUUUGACGGGUAGCCGGCCUGAGAGGGUGACCGGCCACAUUGGGACUGAGAUACGGCCCAGACUCCUACGGGAGGCAGCAGUGGGGAAUAUUGCACAAUGGGCGGAAGCCUGAUGCAGCAACGCCGCGUGCGGGAUGACGGCCUUCGGGUUGUAAACCGCUUUCGCCUGUGACGAAGCGUGAGUGACGGUAAUGGGUAAAGAAGCACCGGCUAACUACGUG
rnacentral:rRNA from 1 species